AAACCACCACCACCACUU
rnacentral:snRNA from 1 species